UACGUAGGGUGCGAGCGUUGUCCGGAAUUAUUGGGCGUAAAGAGCUUGUAGGCGGUCUGUCGCGUCUGCUGUGAAAAUCCGGGGCUCAACCCCGGACUUGCAGUGGGUACGGGCAGACUAGAGUGUGGUAGGGGAGACCGGAAUUCCUGGUGUAGCGGUGAAAUGCGCAGAUAUCAGGAGGAACACCGGUGGCGAAGGCGGGUCUCUGGGCAACAACUGACGCUGAGGAGCGAAAGCGUGGGGAGCGAACAGG
rnacentral:rRNA from 1 species